rnacentral:misc_RNA from 1 species
GAAAUGCGAUAAGUAAUGUGAAUUGCAGAAUUCCGUGAAUCAUCGAAUCUUUGAAUGCACAUUGCGCCCUCUGGCAUUCCGGGGGACAUGCCUGUCCGAGCGUCAUUACGCACCCUCAAGCCCGGCUUGUGUGAUGGGCCCUGGCGUCUCGUUCGCGAGACGGGCCCGAAAGGCAGCGGCGGCGUCGACCCGAUGAGCCCGAGCGUAUGGGGACUUUUGUCACACGUUUGCGGUGCGGACCGGCGCCUGCUUGACUUUUCUGAUUAUCCAGGUUGACCUCGGAUCGGGUAGGGAUACCCGCUGAACUUAAGC